ACGGGUGAGUAACACGUGGGUAACCUACCUAUAAGACUGGAAUAACUCCGGGAAACCGGGGCUAAUGCCGGAUAACAUGUUGAACCGCAUGGUUCUACAGUGAAAGACGGUCUUGCUGUCACUUAUAGAUGGACCCGCGCCGUAUUAGCUAGUUGGUGGGGUAACGGCCUACCAAGGCGACGAUACGUAGCCGACCUGAGAGGGUGAUCGGCCACACUGGAACUGAGACACGGUCCAGACUCCUACGGGAGGCAGCAGUAGGGAAUCUUCCGCAAUGGGCGAAAGCCUGACGGAGCAACGCCGCGUGAGUGAUGAAGGUCUUCGGAUCGUAAAGCUCUGUUGUUAGGGAAGAACAAAUGUGUAAGUAACUGUGCACAUCUU
rnacentral:rRNA from 1 species